rnacentral:miRNA from 1 species
CCGGCUGCGCCCGGCGGG